CGCACUAGUCGGGGAGUCAGCGGUGCCUUGUAACCUGCAAUCCGCUACAGCAGGGAUGAAUUCCCACCCGAGGAACGAACUGUGUUGUCUGACCCUUAUAAGCGGCGAUGAGGAAUCGGUCCCGCGCAACGAAAUCCCAUGAACCAUGUCAGGCGGGGAACCGAGCAGCAUUAAGUGGACCUUUUCGUGUGCCGCGGGUGCGCCGCUUCCGAGCUGGCUGUAUGGGUUCCGGGCAUAGUCUCGUAUUCGAUGGUGGGUGUGCG
rnacentral:SRP_RNA from 1 species